GUGGGGAAUAUUGCGCAAUGGGGGCAACCCUGACGCAGCAACGCCGCGUGAUUGAUGAAGGUCUUCGGAUUGUAAAAAUCUUUAAUCAGGGACGAAACAAAUGACGGUACCUGAAGAAUAAGCUCCGGCUAACUACGUGCCAGCAGCCGCGGUAAUACGUAGGGAGCAAGCGUUAUCCGGAUUUACUGGGUGUAAAGGGCGUGUAGGCGGGCUUGUAAGUUGGAAGUGAAAUCUCGGGGCUUAACCCCGAAACUGCUUUCAAAACUGCGAGUCUUGAGUGAUGGAGAGGCAGGCGGAAUUCCCAGUGUAGCGGUGAAAUGCGUAGAUAUUGGGAGGAACACCAGUGGCGAAGGCGGCCUGCUGGACAUUAACUGACGCUGAGGCGCGAAAGCGUGGGGAGCAAACAGGAUUAGAAACCCCAGUAGUCCU
rnacentral:rRNA from 1 species